rfam:Epulopiscium sp. SCG-B11WGA-EpuloA1 SCGB11WGA_39, whole genome shotgun sequence.
UCCUCGAUAGCUCAGCGGCAGAGCAUUCGGCUGUUAACCGAAGGGUCGUAGGUUCGAACCCUACUCGGGGAG